UGGGGAAUAUUGCACAAUGGGCGAAAGCCUGAUGCAGCAACGCCGCGUGUGUGAAGAAGGCCUUCGGGUUGUAAAGCACUUUGUCCGGAAAGAAAUCCUUGGCUCUAAUACAGUCGGGGAUGACGGUACCGGAAGAAUAAGCACCGGCUAACUACGUGCCAGCAGCCGCGGUAAUACGUAGGGUGCAAGCGUUAAUCGGAAUUACUGGGCGUAAAGCGUGCGCAGGCGGUUUGCUAAGACCGAUGUGAAAUCCCCGGGCUCAACCUGGGAACUGCAUUGGUGACUGGCAGGCUAGAGUAUGGCAGAGGGGGGUAGAAUUCCACGUGUAGCAGUGAAAUGCGUAGAGAUGUGGAGGAAUACCGAUGGCGAAGGCAGCCCCCUGGGCCAAUACUGACGCUCAUGCACGAAAGCGUGGGGAGCAAACAGGAUUAGAUACCCCUGGUAGUCCACGCCCUAAACGAUGUCAACUAGUUGUUGGGGGAUUCAUUUCCCUUAGUAACGUAGCUAACGCGUGAAGUUGACCGCCUGGGGAGUACGGUCGCAAG
rnacentral:rRNA from 1 species